GUGGGGAAUUUUGGACAAUGGGCGCAAGCCUGAUCCAGCCAUGCCGCGUGCGGGAAGAAGGCCUUCGGGUUGUAAACCGCUUUUGUCAGGGAAGAAACGCUCCGAGAUAAUACCUUGGGGUAAUGACGGUACCUGAAGAAUAAGCACCGGCUAACUACGUGCCAGCAGCCGCGGUAAUACGUAGGGUGCAAGCGUUAAUCGGAAUUACUGGGCGUAAAGCGUGCGCAGGCGGUUUUGUAAGACAGAGGUGAAAUCCCCGGGCUUAACCUGGGAACUGCCUUUGUGACUGCAAAGCUCGAGUGCGGCAGAGGGGGAUGGAAUUCCGCGUGUAGCAGUGAAAUGCGUAGAUAUGCGGAGGAACACCGAUGGCGAAGGCAAUCCCCUGGGCCUGCACUGACGCUCAUGCACGAAAGCGUGGGGAGCAAACAGGAUUAGAUACCCCAGUAGUCC
rnacentral:rRNA from 1 species